rnacentral:rRNA from 1 species
UACUAGGGGAGCAAGCGUUGUCCGGAUUUAUUGGGCGUAAAGAGUUCGUAGCCGGCUCUGUAAGUUUUCGGUUAAAUCCAUGUGCUCAACGCAUGGGCUGCCGAAAAUACUGCAUAGCUAGGGAGUGGGAGAGGUAGACGGUACUCAGUAGGAAGGGGUAAAAUCCUUUGAUCUAUUGAUGACCACCUGUGGCGAAGGCGGUCUACCAGAACACGUUCGACGGUGAGGGAUGAAAGCUGGGGGAGCAAACCGG